CAGCUUCUCCCCUACACCCACGCCCUCCCUACAAGUCCCUACCGACGUCACGCCCCACCACGUCCGCCACGCCCCUGUCUCACACCCACAACCACGCCCACCCCACCUUACCACGCCCCGCCACGCCCCAGCAAGUCACCGCCGCGUCCUCCAGCCACGCCCCACGCCCGCAGCCCCGCCCACCUCACCCUGCCACGCCCAGUAAGUCCUCGUAGACGCCACGCCCCCACCAAGUCCACCACGCCCUCAGUCCGCCUUGGCCUCGGGCCCCGCCCCUUUCUUAGGCAUCGCCCACGGAGUCUCCUCCUCCAGGCCUCAAGGGUCUUUCUCACCCGCUGAACCUGUGAGGCCCAGGCGUAUUUUGCACCAUGGUGAGAGAAAAUACCAGGUUGCUAUGAAAGAAACAGUUCUUUCUGCAAAGGUUUGGAAUCAAGAUUAAGUCUUGAGAUCAAUACAGCUUGCUUGCUAGUGUAAACAGCUCGCAACUCGUCUGUUGCCUUGGGAGCAGCUCCAGCCUCGGCCCCACAGUCAUCCCCUCUGGUGGUUUAGAAGUGUCUUAACAGCUCAGGAGAGCACGCCAUAGCCAGACUUGUUGAAUGAAUGAAUGAACGCUACCACCAAAGAGCACUGAAUGAUCCUUAGGUGAACUUAGACAAUGCUCCGGGAGACUUGGAAAGGACAUUCAGUCCAUCAUUUUGUGUAAGUUUCGAGUUUUGGAUUGUCUCUCUUCACGUGAUGGCCCACACCCCUGCAAAAUAAUAACCAAGCGUCAUUAAAGGGACAAGUGCCUCUUCCAUGGCCUGUGGAGCCGCUGCAGCUCGAGCUACUGAUGAGGGAGCAUCAGGCAAGCUGACACCUCCCCCUUCUCCCCCUCCCCUGCAACCUGCACCCCCCCUCCUGCCCGGGGGAAUAUGUGGAUAGGUCUGGCAUUCCUCAGGCACUCCUGGCUGCCCAAGAACAAAGGACAGGGAAAAACAAACGGUUAACUGAUAGAGAUCACUGUCCUUUCAGUUUACAAGUGUUCUAGUAAAUUGUGAGAAAAAGGCAAUCUUAUCAAUAGCCUAAUCUCCAGAAAGCUAUAGACUCAGUUUCCUGAAGACCCAACAUCACCCUCCCCACUAUAGUGAUGUGGGGAACAAAGGCAAAAAGGAAACGGGGUAGGUAAAAUUAAAUUUCCUGAUAACCCGCAGCCCAUUGACAAAUACUUGAAGCAAAUACAGAGUAUAACAUUCUUCCAGGAACUCCCUCCUGUCUGAACUUGAAUACCUUACUAAGUGAACAACCUUAGCUUGACAAUAGCUAGGCCUCCAGUAUCUUAUGAGCCUUCGUUAGCAUAUGGAAGUCCUUCUGGAGGCCUCCCUUUUGCCUUUAACUUUCCCCACCUCCUUAGUAUAUAACUAGUCACUCUACAACCCCAGUGCCGCACUUUCUGCCCAGGGGUCUUGUCCCCUUGCUUUAACAAUAUCACCUUUUUGCAUCAAAGACAUCUCAAGAAUUCUUUCUUGGCCAUCAGCUCCAGAUCCCUACUUCUCCAAACCUCAUCACGACCAUAUCAGAUGUCUUUCUCCCCGGAUUCUUCCUCUGUCCUCUGGGGGAAAUGGCGAUGUCUCAGUACAAUCUGAUGAAUGAGUUAUUUCUUGCAGCUUCCUGGUUGGUGUCUUCCUGGAAUGGGAAAGACCAUUGCUCAAGAACGUUUGGCUUUCCUGGAAAUUGGGACUGUGAGUAAAAAGAUUGAUUCAUUCUUCCUUGGCAACUUUAAAUUGAGCUUUUUGGCCCAUUUGUGACUUUACUUAUACAAAGACAUCUAAGCAGAAGAAAGAAAAUAGGCCUGAUUCGGAGUCACAGUAAUCCCUAUGUUGAAGAAGGCCUUUGGAGAAUGCCUGCCCUGAAGCUCUGUAGGGUCCGUGCCAUUGGGACAACCAAAAUGCUGCCUGAGUAAAGAGAUCAGCAGCCA